rnacentral:rRNA from 1 species
AAGGCGCGCGAUACAGGGUGACAGCCCCGUACACAAAAAUGCACAUGCUGUGAGCUCGAUGAGUAGGGCGGGACACGUGGUAUCCUGUCUGAAUAUGGGGGGACCAUCCUCCAAGGCUAAAUACUCCUGACUGACCGAUAGUGAACCAGUACCGUGAGGGAAAGGCGAAAAGAACCCCGGCGAGGGGAGUGAAAAAGAACCUGAAACCGUGUACGUACAAGCAGUGGGAGCACGCUUAGGCGUGUGACUGCGUACCUUUUGUAUAAUGGGUCAGCGACUUAUAUUCUGUAGCAAGGUUAACCGAAUAGGGGAGCCGAAGGGAAACCGAGUCUUAACUGGGCGUUAAGUUGCAGGGUAUAGACCCGAAACCCGGUGAUCUAGCCAUGGGCAGGUUGAAGGUUGGGUAACACUAACUGGAGGACCGAACCGACUAAUGUUGAAAAAUUAGCGGAUGACUUGUGGCUGGGGGUGAAAGGCCAAUCAAACCGGGAGAUAGCUGGUUCUCCCCGAAAGCUAUUUAGGUAGCGCCUCGUGAAUUCAUCUCCGGGGGUAGAGCACUGUUUCGGCAAGGGGGUCAUCCCGACUUACCAACCCGAUGCAAACUGCGAAUACCGGAGAAUGUUAUCACGGGAGACACACGGCGGGUGCUAACGUCCGUCGUGAAGAGGGAAACAACCCAGACCGCCAGCUAAGGUCCCAAAGUCAUGGUUAAGUGGGAAACGAUGUGGGAAGGCCCAGACAGCCAGGAUGUUGGCUUAGAAGCAGCCAUCAUUUAAAGAAAGCGUAAUAGCUCACUGGUCGAGUCGGCCUGCGCGGAAGAUGUAACGGGGCUAAACCAUGCACCGAAGCUGCGGCAGCGACGCUGAUGCGUUGUUGGGUAGGGGAGCGUUCUGUAAGCCUGCGAAGGUGUGCUGUGAGGCAUGCUGGAGGUAUCAGAAGUGCGAAUGCUGACAUAAGUAACGAUAAAGCGGGUGAAAAGCCCGCUCGCCGGAAGACCAAGGGUUCCUGUCCAACGUUAAUCGGGGCAGGGUGAGUCGACCCCUAAGGCGAGGCCGAAAGGCGUAGUCGAUGGGAAACAGGUUAAUAUUCCUGUACUUGGUGUUACUGCGAAGGGGGGACGGAGAAGGCUAUGUUGGCCGGGCGACGGUUGUCCCGGUUUAAGCGUGUAGGCUGGUUUUCCAGGCAAAUCCGGAAAAUCAAGGCUGAGGCGUGAUGACGAGGCACUACGGUGCUGAAGCAACAAAUGCCCUGCUUCCAGGAAAAGCCUCUAAGCAUCAGGUAACAUCAAAUCGUACCCCAAACCGACACAGGUGGUCAGGUAGAGAAUACCAAGGCGCUUGAGAGAACUCGGGUGAAGGAACUAGGCAAAAUGGUGCCGUAACUUCGGGAGAAGG